CGCUCAGGUGGCAUAGUGGUUAGAGCGUCAGCCUCAGAUGUGUGAGGACUAGGGUUCGAUCCCCGGUCGAGUCA